rnacentral:lncRNA from 1 species
CUUCUAUAAACAUACAUGAAUCAUCACUUGUUUCUUACUCACAUCAACAUGGGAGUUUACAUGUACCAUGCAUAUAUAGAGAAAUAUUUACAUGAUGUUAACUAAAAGUAUAUGCGUCAAGCUUGGGAAGGGGUCAAAAUGAGCCUUAUCUUCACUACCCCUUAAGGUAAACCCAUGUCACUAAAAAAAAAAAAAAAGAAUCCUCAACUUCCACUUGAACUAAGUGCUCUAAGUACCACAUGCUCUAGCUCUAGGCUCACCAUCACUAAACUGAAGGGGUUUGAAUAACAUUGCUUCAUAGUUAAUGAACUAAGCCUCAACCUGCUUAGGGAUCUAGCCGACACAUCCAUUGUCCAUCCUAUUGUGGCUUCGUACUAGGUGUAGGUCAUCUAAAUGUUGGGGUCAUAAACAUCAUGGAAAGACUCGUCAACAUAAGUGAUGAUCCCAUACCUAGCCACAGGUGGAAUGUUCAUUUUAACGAUUUGAAAAAGAUGAAGGAAUGAACAAUGCCCACUAAAGAAACAAUAGGCUCUAAACUAGGUAAUCCACUAGUCGUCAAGGAGAAUGCAAAAUUCAAUAAUAAGUAGCACACAUAGACUAGAACAUACUAUCACAUAAACCACUCCAUUGUCAUACUUAUUCACAUUCUUAUGCACCACAAACAAAUCAUAAUAAUAUCAACACUCAGACCCUUAUGCAAUUGACCAAGCCAAGAUAUAAAUCAAACCACACACAAACACAUACACCCAGUGUAUUUAAUUCAUCAUGUGUUUCAUUAUCCAAACUCGAAUCGGUUUCCCACUAAGUCACAAACUGGUUUGAUCGAGUCACUUUCAGAAUUCCUUAUUCGGACUUCCAUGGAAUCCUUACCAUGGGCAUCUCACUCCAGGGCAUCUCACUCCAAGGCAUCUCAGCAUCACACAAUUAAGGCAUCCAUGAUCACAUAACAAGGGCAUCUCAAUCCGAGGUAUCUCAGUGUCACACAACUGAGGCAUCCUUGAUCACACAGUAAGUGCAUCUCACUCCAAGGCAUCCUGGUAUCACACACAAUUGAGCCAUCCAAGAUUACACAGCAUGGACAUCUCACUUCCCAAGGCAUCAUCGGUAUCAUAAAACCGAUAGAAAUCUUUUAAAUUCAAUUAUUCUACACAUUUUAUGCAUCACAUUUUAGAAUAAUCACACAACAACUACACGCUUACCGACUUAGUGCACAAAACCAUUCCAAAGCCAAGAUUCAAUGCUCACAUACGUGACCUCAUGGCAUACUUCAUUAAUUACACAUAUGAGACUCGACUAGUAACAAAUUAAUGUCAUUUUAUCACAAGUAAGAAAGAAAUACAAUUAGCAAUGUAAAAGAGGCAUAAGACCCCCAAGGAGUCACCGAAAGUUCAAAUAAGAUGUCUACAAAUGUUUGUAAGAAUUCGGACUAGAGUAGAAAAUAGGUAGUUUUAAGUAGUUCUAGCUCACAAGGGGCUUUGGGCUCUAUGCGCAAGCACUUAGAUAGGUUCAAGAGGUGGAAAUGUAAGAGAGUGAGUUCUUCAGGUAGGAAACCGAAGCUUAACUAACAUGAGAAAGGAAAAUGUCCUCUCACAAAGAACGUUAUAAAGGGGAAAUAUUUCAAUUGUGGCAAAAAUGGUUACUUCACCUGCGAUUGUGGUGAGUCAAGGAAGGUGGAGACUCUGUGUUUUUU